UGAAAGGGGUGCCGCAAGGCUGAGAUUAUACCCAAUGAACCUGAUGCAGGUAAUGCUGCCGUAGGGAAUAUUC
rnacentral:ncRNA from 1 species